rnacentral:rRNA from 1 species
GAUGAACACUGGCGGCGUGCCUAAUACAUGCAAGUCGAGCGAACAGAUAAGGAGCUUGCUCCUUUGACGUUAGCGGCGGACGGGUGAGUAACACGUGGGUAACCUACCUAUAAGACUGGGAUAACUUCGGGAAACCGGAGCUAAUACCGGAUAAUAUUUCGAACCGCAUGGUUCGAUAGUGAAAGAUGGUUUUGCUAUCACUUAUAGAUGGACCCGCGCCGUAUUAGCUAGUUGGUAAGGUAACGGCUUACCAAGGCGACGAUACGUAGCCGACCUGAGAGGGUGAUCGGCCACACUGGAACUGAGACACGGUCCAGACUCCUACGGGAGGCAGCAGUAGGGAAUCUUCCGCAAUGGGCGAAAGCCUGACGGAGCAACGCCGCGUGAGUGAUGAAGGUCUUCGGAUCGUAAAACUCUGUUAUUAGGGAAGAACAUACGUGUAAGUAACUGUGCACGUCUUGACGGUACCUAAUCAGAAAGCCACGGCUAACUACGUG